GAAUUUGAUAUAGUUUUAUUAGGUAAAGGAAGUUUAUGUUAGUAAAAAUAAAUAAUAAAAUUAAUAUUUAGUUGGGAGGAUUGUUAAAUUUAGGAAACUUUAGUUUUAUAAAAAUAUUGAUUAAUAAAAUAAAGAUUGGUUUGUAAAUUAAAUAAGAAUUAAUUACCUUAGGGAUAACAGCAUAAUAUUUUUAGAGAGUUCUUAUUAAUAGAAGUGAUUGU
rnacentral:rRNA from 1 species